AUUGAACGCUUGCGGCAUGCUUUACACAUGCCAGUCGAACGGCAGCACGGGAGCUUGCGCCUGGUGGCGAGUGGCGAACGGGUGAGUAAUGCAUCGGAACGUAUCCAAUAAUGGGGGAUAACGCAGCGAAAGUUGUGCUAAUACCGCAUACGCCAUGAGGGGGAAAGUGGGGGACCGUAAGGCCUCACGCUGAUGGAGCGGCCGAUGUCAGAUUAGCUAGUUGGUGCGGUAAAGGCUCACCAAGGCGACGAUCUGUAACUGGGCUGAGAGGAUGAACAGCCCCACUGGUAGUGAGACACGACCCAGACUCCUGCGGGGGGCAGCAGUGGGUAAUUUUGGACAAUGGGGGCAACCCCGAUGCAGCGAUGCCGCGUGAGUGAAGAGGGACUUCGGGUUGUAAAGCUCGUUCGAAAGGGAAGAAAACUUAGUUCUUAAUGCGAGCUGAGGAUGACGGUACCUUGAUAAGAAGCACCGGCUGACUACGUGCCAGCCGCCGCGGUAACAC
rnacentral:rRNA from 1 species